AUGUGUGUACAUUCAAGCGCCACAAGGUUUAUUCUCCCACCGUGUGCCACUAAUAUUUCAUUUUUGUUGGUGAGAUUUUUAACUUCUGGAUGCACGAAUGGUUUGGAUAUUGUGUUGCGCAAUGCUACUGGGUUAUGCUAUGACCACGGACAUGCUUAUGUGAUGGAUUCGACGGUGCCGAUGUGCCUUGCCUAUAUCAACUACGGUGGCACCAACCCUCUUGACGGAGCCCCGGGAGCUGAUGUGUUUAGCAUGUCUGUUGGCCUCAAGGAUGACCAGUUCAUCUACUUGUGCAACCUAUUCUGCUCCACCAUGGGUGCCUAG
rnacentral:rRNA from 1 species